GACGAACCGUGCGAACGUUAUUCGGAAUCACUGGGCUUAAAGCGCGUGUAGGCGGGAGGGCACGUCCGUCGCUGAAAUCCCCCGGCUCAACCGGGGAACGGGCGCGGAUACGACCUUCCUGGAGGGGCGUAGGGGGACCUGGAACUUCCGGUGGAGCGGUGAAAUGCGUUGAGAUCGGAAGGAACGCCCGCGGCGAAAGCGAGGUCCUGGACGCCUACUGACGCUGAGACGCGAAAGCCAGGGGAGCGAACGGG
rnacentral:rRNA from 1 species